rnacentral:misc_RNA from 1 species
GGAAUCAAAAUGUUGUGGAGCACUAUUCUAGUGGCUACAUGGUGGAUUGUCUAGAAGGAAAGAAAUUAUGAUUCUUGAAGGCGAAAGGGAAAAAAAUUGUACCUUAUAGCAUAGAUGUUUAGCUCUUUUAACCUUUCGAUGUAACCAUGAAAAUGCACAGGAAGUAGAUAGGAUAUGGUUAAUUUCCUUUAUUCUUUUUACAUGCAGCUAAUAUAUAUACGGCUUGGGUUGUAUCAUUGCACUUGCUGGG